UGCUGCUUCAGCAGCACAUAUACUAAAAUGGGAACAAAACAGAGAAGAUUAAAUGGUUAUUAUGCAAGUACAACAGUCAAAUUUGUAAAGUGUUCCAUAUUUUU